rnacentral:rRNA from 1 species
CCUACGGGGGGCAGCAGUGGGGAAUAUUGGACAAUGGGGGGAACCCUGAUCCAGCCAUGCCGCGUGUGUGAAGAAGGCCCUCGGGUUGUAAAGCACUUUCAGUGAGGAAGAACGCCUGGUGGUUAAUACCCAUCAGGAAAGACAUCACUCACAGAAGAAGCACCGGCUAACUCCGUGCCAGCAGCCGCGGUAAUACGGAGGGUGCGAGCGUUAAUCGGAAUUACUGGGCGUAAAGCGCGCGUAGGUGGCUUGAUAAGCCAGUUGUGAAAGCCCCGGGCUCAACCUGGGAACGGCAUCCGGAACUGUCAAGCUAGAGUGCAGGAGAGGAAGGUAGAAUUCCCGGUGUAGCGGUGAAAUGCGUAGAGAUCGGGAGGAAUACCAGUGGCGAAGGCGGCCUUCUGGACUGACACUGACACUGAGGUGCGAAAGCGUGGGUAGCAAACAGGAUUAGAUACCCGGGUAGUC